AUAAAAAACCGGGCUUGGUGUCUGAAAAAACUCGUAUAUUUAUUUGUUGAUAUCAACUUCGUCUUGAAUAUCCAUCGGUCCGGAGUCAAACUACAGCAAUACAUUU
rfam:Erythranthe guttata cultivar DTN x IM62 scaffold_52_contig_43, whole genome shotgun sequence.